rnacentral:rRNA from 1 species
GUGGGGAAUAUUGCACAAUGGAGGAAACUCUGAUGCAGCGACGCCGCGUGAGUGAAGAAGUAAUUCGUUAUGUAAAGCUCUAUCAGCAGGGAAGAUAGUGACGGUACCUGACUAAGAAGCUCCGGCUAAAUACGUGCCAGCAGCCGCGGUAAUACGUAUGGAGCAAGCGUUAUCCGGAUUUACUGGGUGUAAAGGGAGUGUAGGUGGCCAUGCAAGUCAGAAGUGAAAAUCCGGGGCUCAACCCCGGAACUGCUUUUGAAACUGUGAGGCUAGAGUGCAGGAGGGGUGAGUGGAAUUCCUAGUGUAGCGGUGAAAUGCGUAGAUAUUAGGAGGAACACCAGUGGCGAAGGCGGCUCACUGGACUGUAACUGACACUGAGGCUCGAAAGCGUGGGGAGCAAACAGGAUUAGAAACCCCGGUAGUCC